UUUUUUUUUUUUUUUUUUUUUUUUUUUUUUACCAAAUUCAAGGUUGCCUAACUUAUAGAGCCGGACCACACAAGAAUGUGGUCCCAAAUUAUACUAGAGAUGACGCAA
rnacentral:ribozyme from 12 species